AACCAACAGGGAUUGCCUCAGUAACGGCGAGUGAACUGGCAAAAGCUCAAAUUUGUAAUCUGGCACUAGCCCGAGUUGUAAUUUGUAGAGGAUGUCUGCGUUAAAUUUGAAAUUCAAGUCUUUUGGAAAGAAGCAUCAUGGAGGGUGAUAAUCCCGUAAGUGAUUUCAAAAUCUUAACAUUGUCAGGCUCCUUCAAUGAGUCGAGUUGUUUGGGAAUGCAGCUCUAAAUGGGAGGUAAAUUUCUUCUAAGGCUAAAUAUUGGCUGGAGACCGAUAGCGAACAAGUAGAGUGAUCGAAAGAUGAAAAGAACUUUGAAAAGAGAGUUAAAAAGUAUGUGAAAUUGUUGAAAGGGAAGCAUUUGCAAUCAGAUCUGCUUCAGAGAAAUUCGCUGAAUACAUUGGUGUUUUGCUUAUUUUUCUUUGUUGCUUGUCAACAUCAGUUUGGGUAGUAACAUAAAUAUUAUUGAAAUGUGACUCUUUGAGUGUUAUAGUCAAUUUUCUUUAUUACUCACCUAGAUUGAGGCUUGCGCUUUUGCAAUGAUGUUGACUUAAUGGUUGUAAGUGGCCCGUCUUGAAACACGGACCA
rnacentral:rRNA from 1 species